CUCGGCUUUGAAAGGAGCUCUCCGAGGAAGCCAGAUGUUGCGAACAAAAGUCUAAAAAUAAUCUUCCCAUCUCUCAGCCCGGCAGCACAUGUGCUGUGUGCGAACACGAGAUCAGAGAGCCGCGUCUAACUUGGAGCGAUUAAGUUCAACCACCGCUCCUGGCUCUGGCUUGGGAGCUCCAAACCCUUUCUAUAUUUCCCUCCCCGCCCAGAAGCCUCGCAGCAAAGAGCAGCUCACUCCAGCCGUCUGCCCUCUCCCUCCCUCCCUCCCUCCCAGGACUCGGACUCGCCUGGAUCCUUGAAAGCUCAGCUCCCUGUUUUAUCUCUCCUUAGGAAGAUGGAUGCCAGCAGCCAGAAGCUGGUGCCUGAGCCGCAUGUCUGUAGCAAGAUCUUUGCCACAGCCUUGUGCAUCGUAAUCUUGCUCCCAGAUUCAGGCUUUGCAAAGAAUCUCUGGAAACGCGCUCUCCAUCUCAAACUGACAGAGAAGUAUGAUGAUUAUGAGUACCCUCUUCAUUCUCACAGUGCCCACUACCAGAAGAACGACCGCUGCCCCCCGCCCCCCCAGACUUUGCCGGACCGAGCGUGCGAAGUGCCCAGCUGCCGCUCAGAUUCAGAGUGCGAAAGACACAAGCGCUGCUGUUACAACGGAUGCAUCUACGCGUGUCUAGAAUCGGUGCAACCCCCUCCAGUUUUAGACUGGUUGGUGCAGCCCAAGCCACGCUGGCUGGGAGGAAACGGUUGGUUGUUAGAUGGACCAGAGGAAGUGUUACAAGCUGAGGCCUGCAGCACUACUGAGGAUGGAGAUGAGCCUCUGCAUUGUCCAACAGGAUACGAAUGCCACAUCAUUAAUCCUGGCAACACAGCCGAAGGGAUCCCCAACAGGGGACAAUGCAUCAAGCAACGUGGAAAUCCUGAUAGCCGCAACCUAAGGCAUAAAUACUACAAGGAAUAUUUUGGUUUGUUCUACAGGGAGUAAUUCCAACAAUGUGGUCGGCUAUGUGAAACAGCAGCAGAAGCACUUAGGUUAACCACAGAGAUGUCCAAUGGGACCUAGGUGAUAAGAAGCUUUAAAUGAAAGAUAUACCCCGUAGUUGUCCACUCCAGGAGAACUCUUGCCCUACAUCGCCAAUGGUGUCCAUUCAGCAUCUCCCUGAUCUCUGCCACUUGUCAACAGAAGAACUGCGCUAUGCAAGAAAGACAGUUUCAGUCCCUCAAAAGAAACCACAGCCCUUAGAAGCAGCUCCUCUACAAACGGACCGUGCUGCGUUGCACAGAUAAUCACUCUGUGCUGCACAGAGAAUCACUUUGAAAUUCAUUUUCAAAUCAGAAGAGUACACACUGGGUGCGUCUACAUGAGACACUUACUGCACAUUAGCCUAACGUCACUGCGUAGUAGUGUGUCAUGGCAAAAAAUGUGCUAAUAGCCUACUGCGCGGUAUUAUUAAGCUAAUGCACAGUAAACAUCACCAAAUAACCAUGCACCAGCACUACUACAGAGUAACUUUCAGUAUUGAGCAUUUAGUACUUUAUUAAGGAAGUACUAAACUAAAUGUGCAGUACCUAAGGUGCAUUAAUGCAUGUAUAGACACGCACACUGUAAUGCAUAUUAAAGGACUGCUUCUGAUUUCAAUUCCAUGGAUAUAACUCAGCAGUAGCACUGGUCUAAAAAUGAUGUAGAUGAGUUCAGAGCAAGGCUCUAGGUAUCUACAGCUUGAUUGAUUUUUGUGAAGUGCGUGCAAUGAAUACAGGGAAUGACCUACAUACUGCACAUAGGUUGUUUUAACACAGCUCAAAAGUUCUCUUACUUGUAAGGGAAGCCAUUGGCCGCUGAUUUAUCAACAGCGUGCAUAACUUGAAGAUGUUCCCUAAUGAAAGUGAACUCCGAAGAAUGGAUUUCCUCCAGUGAAUCACGGUAGCUUUUUAUAAUUUAGCAUAAUAGGUACAUGUGUGUUUUUAACAUGAGGUGAGGGGUGUCUAUUGUGGUGCUCUGUUGGGAAGUACAGUCUGUGCCAACAUUUAUUCCCCUGGGUCUCGAAUCCCUACAUGGCGAAGGUGGAAGUAGAAGUACUGAACAUUUCCUUGUAUAGUUUAGCACUUCAGAACAGGAGACUGGAAGGGAUUCAUGGGUCAUUACGUCCAGCCCCCUGCUGUCACAGGGUACCACAUUAUAUCAUUCCUUUUCUAAACCAACAAGCAAAAAAUCCUGAAAGCUUUCUUUUUCUGUUAAUAACCAGAACAAGCUAAGAAAUGAGCCCAAGCCAGAACCUUGGAUCUGAAAUCCUCUUGACUUAAGGAAGGCUGAGCCUGGAUAUAAACUUCAAAGCAAAGGCUAUUUCUAUGAUGGGUUUAAGCAGCUGAUUGAUUUAAGCACCAAGGACCUGUGGGAAAUGCAUUGAUCCAAAAAACCAUUGCCUUUCCUACACCCCUGUGCACGGAAUGGUUCGCCCAAACAUUUUAUCACAAAAAGUAUUGGAGCGUUUGGGGAACAUGAAAGUCUUCCCUUUAUUUUUAGGACGUGCCAGUUUGUGUUGGCAAAAUAAGAUCUGCAGAAUGCAAACUGUGCUGGAGCUUAUGUACUGACAGUUAUAACAGCCCAAUUUGUGGCCACACCAAUUGGAGAUGCAAAUGAACGGGCAAAUUAAUUGCUGCAGUACGAGUCCCCAUCAAAUAGGAAGCUGCUUAGAGGAAAUCAGGUCCUUUGUACUUCCUUCCACAAAUCCUUAUGUCUGUCUGGGCCUCAGACUUUCUUUCUAGUGAUCAAUGUUAGUAAAAUGGAGAGGGCUCUGUAACGGCUUGGUUUCUUUUGGAAUAACGCACUCAACCCAACUUCUGACUCUUCACUUUGACUCGCAUUCAGAAUUAGUGGCUGCAAUAUUUCCACAAACAUUUUGCCCAUGUCCCAUGUACAUAGAUAAAUAUGGCAUGUUAUCGGAUGAGUGGUUGCUCCAUAUUGUAAUAUCCAUGCAAAUGCAUGUUGGUGUUUUCAAAGUAUAUAGGUACCAAGCUCAGGGGCCUGUAUAAACAUAUGAGACUUUGCAUGUAAUAAUAUAUGUGACUGAAGCCAACUCAGAGAUGAGAGAUGCUGAUUAUUUUUAUUCGUAGAGGCACAUACCUCAGAGCUAUUGCCUUACAGAGGAAUGAGUUUACAGUUCCUUCUUUUCCUAAACAUCUACAUACAGUAGAUUGUAUUUGCUUGGCUGAGUCUCUGCAUUUACCUGAAGUUAUUAAAGGCACAAUUAUAUUUGAACAUACCUAUUUUAGGCACAUAAGGAUAUUUCCUCCACUUGUUUUUUCGGACAAAAUUCCUUUCCCCAGCUUAGCUGCCAUUAGAUAGAUUUGGUAUUAUAAUAUCCAGUAGAUCCAGUCUAAAUAUACUCUAUCAAAGUGCUACUAUCUUGUACUACCUCUACUUUUAAAACAUGCCUCUGCAUUAAAGACAGGUUCCACCGAUACCACAAAACACCUCAAACUGUAUAUCACAGAAAUCUUACUGGAGAUCCCGAUUCUGAACGGUGCUCAGAGAAUUGCUUGACUUUUUGUAAAAAAUAAUUUUCCAUUUUUUGCAACCAAAAAAAAUUGAGCAAUUCUUUUCGUGUAAUAUUUUUCAGUCAGCUAAAGAAUUGGUCAACAUUUGAUGGGGGUUUUUUUUUAAUUCUUUUAAAAAAAAUCAAAUGUUGAAAAAUGCUGAAAAUCCAGUAAUAAUAUUCAUGAAACUUUUCACUAGUCUUUUGAUUGGCUCUUUAACACUCACAGUGACCACUGAUCAAGGAGAUGGAAGGUUUUUUGAGCCUAGACACUUGCUGUCUUGCUUGUUGAAGGCCUUACAAGAUCAAGCAUCUAGGCCGCCGUCUAAUCCCAGACAGCAUUUAAGCAUGUACUUAAUUUGAGCUAUCUGUUUGCUUGAACUUCAAGUAUAAAUAAGCAUAGAUAAGCAUAUAUUUGAAUUUGCUAGAUAGGAGCGGCGGAGCAGAAAUAAAUUGACUGUAAAGAAAGAAAGCUGAUAAAAUAAUGAACCUUUGAAUAUUCACUGUGCGCCGAGAGAGAAGUCGGCCUUUCUGUUGGUGCUGUGUUGCUCUUUUAAAGGUCUUAUGGUUUGCCAGCCUCAGUAGAAAGCUGUAGAGAUCUGUACGAACGCCGGACUUUCAAUCAUAAAGUUCCUAACGCUUGUACAAAUAUUGUCGACUGUCCCAUACAUGUUCCUGAUUUCUUAUUUCUGCCCUGGAAAAAAUGUUUUUAAGAGCAGCACGACGAAGCUUGAUUGGAAAUUGGCACUGUUAGCUUUUUGAUUAUGUCUCUUUUUCCCAUGCUGUGUUUAGUGCCAUUUUAAAGCGUGUCUUGGUGCUACGAUACACUUCUCAUACAACAGUACACGCUCAUUAGUGAGGAGUACUUCCAGCUCUCACUGGCUGGGGUUUUGCUGCAAAGAUUGAUUCAGUGCUAGAAGUCGCGGUGCCUAAUCUUUGUGUUUAGAAGUGCGCAGAUUUACUUUGGUGCUCAAUAAAAAUACCCACUAUAUUUUU